rnacentral:rRNA from 1 species
AUUGAACGCUGGCGGCAGGCCUAACACAUGCAAGUCGAACGGUAGCACAGGAGAGCUUGCUCUCUGGGUGACGAGUGGCGGACGGGUGAGUAAUGCAUGGGGAGCUGCCCAAUCGAGGGAGAUACCAGCUGGAAACGGCUGCUAAUACCGCAUACGCCCUGAGGGGGGAAAGGUGGGGACCUUCGGGCCUACCGCGAUUGGAUGCACCCAUGUGGGAUUAGCUAGUUGGUGAGGUAACGGCUCACCAAGGCGACGAUCUCUAGCUGGUCUGAGAGGAUGACCAGCCACACUGGAACUGAGACACGGUCCAGACUCCUACGGGAGGCAGCAGUGGGGAAUAUUGCACAAUGGGGGAAACCCUGAUGCAGCCAUGCCGCGUGUGUGAAGAAGGCCUCGG